UGAGGAAUAUUGGUCAAUGGACGCAAGUCUGAACCAGCCAUGCCGCGUGAAGGAUGAAGGCCUUCUGGGUUGUAAACUUCUUUUACCUGGGAAGAAACCCCGAUUUUCUAAUCGGGUUGACGGUACCAGAGGAAUAAGCACCGGCUAACUCCGUGCCAGCAGCCGCGGUAAUACGGAGGGUGCAAGCGUUAUCCGGAUUUACUGGGUUUAAAGGGUGUGUAGGCGGGCUUUUAAGUCAGUGGUGAAAUCUCCGGGCUCAACCCGGAAACUGCCAUUGAUACUAUUAGUCUUGAAUUUUGUUGAGGUAGGCGGAAUAAGUCAUGUAGCGGUGAAAUGCAUAGAUAUGACUUAGAACACCAAUUGCGAAGGCAGCUUGCUAAACAAAUAUUGACGCUGAGGCACGAAAGCGUGGGGAUCAAACAG
rnacentral:rRNA from 1 species